GACGAACGCUGGCGGCGUGCUUAACACAUGCAAGUCGAACGGAAAGGCCCUGCUUUUGUGGGGUGCUCGAGUGGCGAACGGGUGAGUAACACGUGAGUAACCUGCCCUUGACUUUGGGAUAACUUCAGGAAACUGGGGCUCAUACCGGAUAGGAGCUCCUGCUGCAUGGUGGGGGUUGGAAAGUUUCGGCGGUUGGGGAUGGACUCGCGGCUUAUCAUCUUGUUGGUGGGGUAGUGGCUUACCAAGGCUUUGACGGGUAGCCGGCCUGAGAGGGUGACCGGCCACAUUGGGACUGAGAUACGGCCCAGACUCCUACGGGAGGCAGCAGUGGGGAAUAUUGCACAAUGGGCGGAAGCCUGAUGCAGCAACGCCGCGUGCGGGAUGACGGCCUUCGGGUUGUAAACCGCUUUCGCCUGUGACGAAGCGUGAGUGACGGUAAUGGGUAAAGAAGCACCGGCUAACUACGUG
rnacentral:rRNA from 1 species